UACGGAGGGUGCGAGCGUUGUCCGGAAUCAUUGGGCGUAAAGGGCGCGUAGGUGGCGGCUUAAGCGUGCGGUGAAAGCUCGGGGCUCAACCCCGAGUCGGCCGUGCGAACUGAGUCGCUUGAGCACUGUAGAGGCAGGCGGAAUUCCGGGUGUAGCGGUGGAAUGCGUAGAGAUCCGGAAGAACACCGGUGGCGAAGGCGGCCUGCUGGGCAGUAGCUGACACUGAGGCGCGACAGCGUGGGGGAGCAAACAGG
rnacentral:rRNA from 1 species